GAAUCAGUUCCGCGGUUGUUUUUACAUAUCUAAUAGGUAUCAAUUACCAUAUUUCGAAACAAAAUUGCAAUCUCAUACAACCCUUGACUGGAAUUCGUGUACAUACAAGGAACACUACCGGCAUGCAAUCGACGCCAUGAUGCAACGGACGAAUUUGAAAUUUAAUAUUGAUGAAAUCUAUUUUAUUGUAACACGUGGUUCUUCACAGUUUCUUUGCAUCUCAGCACGAAUCCAGUAGAACUAUCUAGACGACGUCACCGAUCACUUCCAUAGAGUUCUUCACUGGACAACAGCAUCAUCAUCGUCGGUGCUGGUUCAUCAUACUCAACAAUUGGUUCGAGAAAUGAAAUGUCAACUCGAUAAUAACGAGUACUUUCGAUACUUGCUUCUCCUAGUGUUCGAUCAAACUACGAGCUCCGUGAAAACAACGAGACUGGUCAAUGCGAACGAAGCUCUAUGUAUAUUCAACAAACGCAUCGCCUCGAUGAAGCUAUUCAACAAAAAUGGCGUCAUUUUUCAACGCAACAACAUUCGUGUUCACAUCACC